rnacentral:rRNA from 1 species
UACGUAGGGGGCAAGCGUUGUCCGGAUUUAUUGGGCGUAAAGAGCGUGUAGGCGGCUUUGCAAGUCCGUUGUGAAAACUCGAGGCUCAACCUCGAGACGCCGGUGGAAACUGCAAAGCUAGAGUCCGGAAGAGGAGAGUGGAAUUCCUGGUGUAGCGGUGAAAUGCGCAGAUAUCAGGAAGAACACCCGUGGCGAAGGCGGCUCUCUGGGACGGUACUGACGCUGAGACGCGAAGCGUGGGGAGCGAACAGG